UACAGAGGUCCCGAGCGUUGUUCGGACUCAUUGGGCGUAAAGGGUGCGUAGGCGGCUUCCUAAGUUUGAUGUGAAAUCCUGGGGCUCAACCCUGGAACUGCAUUGAAUACUGGGAGGCUAGAGUACUGGAGAGGAAACUGGAAUUUACGGUGUAGCAGUGAAAUGCGUAGAGAUCGUAAGGAAGACCAGUGGCGAAGGCGAGUUUCUGGACAGUUACUGACGCUGAGGCACGAAGGCCAGGGGAGCAAACGGG
rnacentral:rRNA from 1 species